GCCCGGGUAAGUCAGUUGGUUAGACUGUUCGCCUUUUAAGCGAAAAGCCGUGGGUUCGAGCCCCACCUCGGGCG